GGUUCUGUGGCCGAGUGGCUAGGCAGAGGUCUGCAAAACCUCGUACACCGGUUCGAAUCCGGUCGGAACCUCUA
rnacentral:tRNA from 2 species